rnacentral:lncRNA from 1 species
UUUUUUUCUCUUGCUUUUUUUAACUUUUUUUCUUUCUCUUUUUUCUUUGCCUUUUUUUCUCUCUCCCUCUUUUCAAGACAAACUAGAUAAGAUGCAGAUUGGAUCUAGCAAAAAUGUGAAUGACCUCAACUAUGAUUGUGACAAUGAACAAUGGGUAGCAUGUGGUGGAAAUUGAUGGAUGAGUGGUGGAUAGCGGAAGGGAUAACGAUGUCGCGGCGGCGUGACUAAUGUGAACAGAACUCGAAACUUUAAAUGAACUAGACACUAAGACAAGCAACUUGACACGACGAUGCAACCGAUAAUUCAACUAUGCAAGCAAUGAAAAGAAAAUUACAAAGGCUCAGACUGGCUUGGAUAAACGAUAAAUAGAUCUAACUUUUUUGUGGCUUUUUCUUGGACAAUAUGUAAGAAAAAAAUCUAAUCUACGAAAAACUGGAAAUUCCCACCGAGGAACCUGAAAACUGAUAUCACUUGAUAGAGGCGAGGGACCCGAUAUUUCGAUGAGAUGAUAACUAUCGAUUUGGUGGAGCCGACUUUGACGAUCCGACUACAAACGUGCAAGACAUUGCACCUUAGCAAUCGCUAAACCAAUUUCGAGUGGUUAUUGACCACGUCGGAGCACGAUCAACCUGACCACGAGGGUCUGUUUCCUGUGAGCAAACGGAGAACAAGUAAGAAACUAAGAUUGCAAUCUGGAUAUUGCGAAUAUAAGAGGAAACCUUUAUUCAUUAAGGUGGCGUUCUGUGACGCCUUUGUCGGGUAGUUGAACACAAACGAAGUACGCGAAGUUGCAGCUAUGACGAACUUUAAUCUAAACAAAACCCAAGAAAAAAGCUGCUAGAUGGAUCUAAUUAUAUAGGAGCAAGGGGUGGCGGCCAAGGAGGUAGGAGGACGUCCCAAGGCAGUCUAAAACUAACCCUAGGUCGUACAAGGCUCAUGGCUCCAAGUGGAGGUGAUGCUACACCAUUGGGCUUGUAGUUUGACUCGGAUUCUACUGCAAGUCAGAUUGUUUCGUCCAUAACUUGACGCUACAGACAAAUUUGAAGGUGAAUCCAAUUGUGUUGGAAAGAGCACGAAAUCUACUUUCAAACAAAAAAGAAUCACCCAAUUCGGAGUCCGUAUGAAAAAGUUGUUAGUGUUUUAAGUCAGCUAUGUCCGUGAGAGACUUGGAUUCUAUCUUCUCUUGGCCCAAAAGUGACGUGAGAGGACUUUUUAAACUGCACCUAAACUUCUCUUUUCCCUUAUCUUCAUGUGGAUUGUACAAAUGUCCCAUAUACCUGCAAUUAGACGUGGCACAAAAGAUUUGUGAAGUAUUUUUUGUCCUGGAUGACAUAAAUAAAUUAUUGCAUAGUUUGCAUUAGAAAUCACCUCACGAAUAUACAUGUAUGCAAUAUCUUUGGUCGUAUCCAAGGUAGCCAUGUCCUCGUCACACUUGAAAGGGUGUGUUUUAUUAAGUAUCUGGUUCUAGUUGUCAUAAGGUCAAGGUACAACUCCGGGUCGUCCUUUUACCGAGGGACACGGUUAUUCGAAUAGAUAAACUUUCCUGUAGGGGCGCACCAUAUUUCCCAACACGCUCGAUCCCUCUGGACGGGCACACUUUUCUGGGUCAUGUCCAGCCUCAGAAAAUCAACACGUCGCAGCCACACCUAGGCACAACAGAGAGCUCAGCACGCCGGUCUAAAUCCUAAGCGCGCUGGGGUCAGGGCCCAUUGCACACCUGCAGGUUGCGUGGGUAGCUGGUAAGCAGACCUAAUCUCCCUAAUACAAGAGCAGACGUUCCAGCCCAAUCCGGCGCGCGUCGCUCAGUCGCUGACGUCAAGAAGGCUUCGGCUGAUACCACGACGUCGAGUGCCUAUAAUUAUUCCCGCGUAGUUGGUUAGUGCGUAUAGGCCAGUGGACAGACUCAGAUCAAAUACUAAGAUCUCGUUAUGUGUGUUAUUUUGAAGCAACCGCGAACGCCGACCAGGGACCAGGCCCACCUAUCUCCUAGGAGGUCACAACCUGCCCUGUCGCUCCGUCACAAAGUAACAGUCGGGGGGCCGUCGGGAACCCAGGCCCAUCACUACCUGGAUGGAACCAUCUGCCCCUUCAGCCCCCAUAUUCGAAUCACUUGCGGGUACUCAACGAGCGACCCGACUUUAGUCACAACAUGUAUCAUAUAUCAUGUAUUAUAAGUAUAUACCCGUGAUCACCUCCCUAGUGAUCACGGCCCGAUAGUAUAGCAUCGAAGACGGACAAGAAUGUGGGGCCACUGAUGAUAAACUAGCAUCCUAUACUAAGCAUUUAGGACUGCAGGUAAGUUAUCAACAACUGUAGCAACAAUGACAGGCUAUGCAAUAGAAUAGGAUAAACCGAAAGCAGCAACAUGCUACACUACUCUAAUGCAAGCAGUAGAGAGAAGAAUAGGCGAUAUCUGGUGAUCAACGGAGGGGGGCCUACCUGGUUGCUCUGCAGACAGAAACAUACCCUCGAAGGUGAAUUAGUUGAUCACUGGUUCAACCGCGGUCUCGGGGUCUACCGAAGAAGUAACGGAGGGGAAUAUAAUAAAUAAUGAAGCAAUCAAAGCAUCACAAAGCAUAACAUGGCAAUACACGGUGUUAGGGAUGACCUAACACAGUACUAGUGCUACCGACGAAAGGGGGAAACAUCUGAGAGAGUAUUUCCGAUGUUUCGUGUUUUCGGACAGACAAACCGAAGGGAGAAAGUUGGAUGUUCGCCGUGCUAGGGACGUGUGGUUAGCAAACAGACUGUGUAUCGGAUUCGUCUUGUCGUUCUGAGGAACUUUCGUGUACAAAGUAUUUUCAUCCGAGCUACGAAUUAUUUUAUAUUAAUUUUCAAAGUUCUAAAUAUAUUCUAAAAUUAUUUAUUUAUUUUAAUUCGAAAAUACAGUUAAACAAUAUAUGCUACAGGUAUAUGAAAGUGUAUCAAGAGAAGUGCAAGUGAGACUAACAGUGGGGCCCAGUUGCUGAGUCAGCAGAGGACCCAGUCAACCUUAUCAACUAGAACAGUACACAUGGUCCCACAUGUCAUGGACUGUAGGGGUAAUUAAGGAUCAAUUUUAAACGUGUUUAAUUAAUGCGGUGAGCCCCACAUGUAAGUGGCUAUUUGGAUUAUUUUAAUUAGUCUGUUAAUUAUGCCCGCGAUUAAUUAGGUGUGGGUCCCAUUCGUCGGUGACUCAGAGCGUAAUUAGGAGCUGGGUUAAAGGUGCCACAUCAGCACCACCGGAGAAAUCCGUCAGCGACCAAAUCAGAGGCGGAGGGCUCGGGACCUGGUCGGAAAUCCGCCACAGGCGUCGGCUUGACGCGCAGCUUGGUGCGUUCGGACGCCCGCGGCAGCGCGCAUCGAACGGUGGUCGUGGCAGCAGCGGGGGUGGCCGAACGUGGCCGGAGAAGCAACGGCAGCGGCGGCCGGAGCAAGGCAACGACAGCAGCACGCUAAGGCUCCAAUCCGAGGGCGAACAUGAGGGGUUUGACGCAGUAGCUCACCGCGAGCUCUUUGCCGGGGUCGAGGUAGCCGGAGGGCGUCGAUGGCGAGCGGCUCAACGGGGAUCGGAG